ACGCCGGUAACGCAGUGGCUAACACGCGUCCCUGGAAAGGGUUGAGAUACGGGUUCGAAUCCCGUCCAACGCU